rnacentral:rRNA from 1 species
UCCUACGGGAGGCAGCAGUGGGGAAUAUUGCACAAUGGGCGCAAGCCUGAUGCAGCAACGCCGCUUGAGGGAUGACGGCCUUCGGGUUGUAAACCUCUUUUAGUAGGGAAGAAGCGAAAGUGACGGUACCUGCAGAAAAAGCACCGGCUAACUACGUGCCAGCAGCCGCGGUAAUACGUAGGGUGCGAGCGUUGUCCGGAAUUAUUGGGCGUAAAGAGCUCGUAGGCGGUCUGUCGCGUCUGCUGUGAAAACCCGAGGCUCAACCUCGGGCCUGCAGUGGGUACGGGCAGACUAGAGUGCGGUAGGGGAGAAUGGAAUUCCUGGUGUAGCGGUGGAAUGCGCAGAUAUCAGGAGGAACACCGAUGGCGAAGGCAGUUCUCUGGGCCGUAACUGACGCUGAGGAGCGAAAGCGUGGGGAGCGAACAGGAUUAGAUACCCUGGUAGUCCACGCCGUAAACGUUGGGCGCUAGAUGUGGGGACCAUUCCACGGUUUCCGUGUCGCAGCUAACGCAUUAAGCGCCCCGCCUGGGGAGUACGGCCGCAAGGCUAAAACUCAAAGGAAUUGACGGGGGCCCGCACAAGCGGCGGAGCAUGCGGAUUAAUUCGAUGCAACGCGAAGAACCUUACCAAGGCUUGACAUACACGAGAACGCCCUAGAAAUAGGGAACUCUUUGGACACUCGUGAACAGGUGGUGCAUGGUUGUCGUCAGCUCGUGUCGUGAGAUGUUGGGUUAAGUCCCGCAACGAGCGCAACCCUCGUUCUAUGUUGCCAGCGCGUAAUGGCGGGAACUCAUAGGAGACUGCCGGGGUCAACUCGGAGGAAGGUGGGGAUGACGUCAAAUCAUCAUGCCCCUUAUGUCUUGGGCUUCACGCAUGCUACAAUGGCCGGUACAAAGGGCUGCAAUACCGUAAGGUGGAGCGAAUCCCAAAAAGCCGGUCUCAGUUCGGAUUGAGGUCUGCAACUCGACCUCAUGAAGUCGGAGUCGCUAGUAAUCGCAGAUCAGCAACGCUGCGGUGAAUACGUUCCCGGGCCUUGUACACACCGCCCGUCAAGUCAUGAAAGUCGGUAACACCCGAAGCCGGUGGCCCAACCCUUGUGGAGGGAGCCGUCGAAGGUGGGAU